rnacentral:rRNA from 1 species
GGCCAGACUCCUACGGGAGGCAGCAGUGAGGAAUAUUGGUCAAUGGUCGGGAGACUGAACCAGCCAAGCCGCGUGAGGGAUGAAGGUACAGAGUAUCGUAAACCUCUUUUGUCAGGGAACAAAGGCGGGGACGCGUCCCCGGAUGAGUGUACCUGAAGAAAAAGCAUCGGCUAACUACGUGCCAGCAGCCGCGGUAAUCCGUAGGUGGCGAGCGUUGUCCGGAAUUACUGGGUGUAAAGGGAGCGCAGGCGGUUCUGCAAGGCUGAUGUGAAAGCCCGGGGCUCAACCGCGGGACUGCAUUGGAAACUGCGGGACUGGAGUGUCGGAGGGGUAAGCGGAAUUCCUGGUGUAGCGGUGAAAUGCGUAGAUAUUAGGAGGAACACCAGUGGCGAAGGCGGCUUACUGGACGGCAACUGACGCUGAGGCUCGAAAGCGUGGGGAGCAAACAGGAUUAGAUACCCCAGUA